UCUUUCUCCUUCUCGGCUCCCCCCAAAGGAGACCAGCUGGGCGCGCCAGGCUAGGCAAGGGUUAAGAGCAGCUGAGCCCCUUUCCUAGAGAGGACAGGAAGUGAGGGGGCGGGUCUUCCGUAUCCCCUCCCUGGCCCCCCUCUUGUCUCCUCCGGAAAAGGAUCUCUUUGCGGAAAUGGGCCUGGAUUCCUGUGAGGCAGAGAAGACUCCGUUGGACGCCAGAGGGAGGCCACUGGGUGACAGACGGAUGCCCCCCAGACCUCCUCAUCCAUCUUUUCAUGAGAAAGAAGCAGCAGCUGUGGAAACAGAUCUGGGUCCUCUGUGUUUUAAAGAUGUCGCUGUGUAUUUCACAGAGGAGGAGUGGGCGUUGCUGGAUCCUGACCAGAGAGCUCUGCAUAAGGAAGUCAUGGAGGAGAAU